CCUACGGGAGGCAGCAGUGAGGAAUAUUGGUCAAUGGACGAGAGUCUGAACCAGCCAAGUAGCGUGAAGGAUGACUGCCCUAUGGGUUGUAAACUUCUUUUAUAUGGGAAUAAAAUGUUCCACGUGUGGGAUUUUGUAUGUACCAUAUGAAUAAGGAUCGGCUAACUCCGUGCCAGCAGCCGCGGUAAUACGGAGGAUCCGAGCGUUAUCCGGAUUUAUUGGGUUUAAAGGGAGCGUAGGUGGAUUGUUAAGUCAGUUGUGAAAGUUUGCGGCUCAACCGUAAAAUUGCAUUUGAAACUGGCAGGCUUGAGAACAGUAGAGGUGGGCGGAAUUCGUGGUGUAGCGGUGAAAUGCUUAGAUAUCACAAAGAACUCCGAUUGCGAAGGCAGCUCACUGGGCUGCAACUGACACUGAGGCUCGAAAGUGUGGGUAUCAAACAGGAUUAGAUACCCGAGUAGUC
rnacentral:rRNA from 1 species